ACCGGAUCGGACAUCGAACCGGCGAGGACACUGGGUCACUGGUUCAUUGGUCGAACCACUGGGUCACUGGUCGAAUCGCAUGAUAAACCGGAUUAAAUCGGAUUAAACCGGUGAAAUGAACCGGUCUCUAUAUAGUUAUUGAUCCGAUCUCUAUAUAGUUAAAAAAAAAUCAUAAAAAAUAUUAAAAUUUGAAAAUUUCAUAAACUCAUAAUGUGACAAUGUCACAAGUUCUUAAAUUGUUCUAGUGGCGUAGCUAUGAAUAUGGAGCAAGGGUACAAACGAUUUUAAUGGGUCAACCUAUGAUGUGUAAAUGAGAAGUUACCG
rnacentral:lncRNA from 1 species